GAGGAAUAUUGGACAAUGGGUGAGAGCCUGAUCCAGCCAUCCCGCGUGAAGGACGACGGCCCUAUGGGUUGUAAACUUCUUUUGUAUAGGGAUAAACCUAGAUACGUGUAUCUAGCUGAAGGUACUAUACGAAUAAGCACCGGCUAACUCCGUGCCAGCAGCCGCGGUAAUACGGAGGGUGCAAGCGUUAUCCGGAUUUAUUGGGUUUAAAGGGUCCGUAGGCGGAUUUGUAAGUCAGUGGUGAAAUCUCACAGCUUAACUGUGAAACUGCCAUUGAUACUGCAAGUCUUGAGUGUUGUUGAAGUAGCUGGAAUAAGUAGUGUAGCGGUGAAAUGCAUAGAUAUUACUUAGAACACCAAUUGCGAAGGCAGGUUACUAAGCAACAACUGACGCUGAUGGACGAAAGCGUGGGGAGCGAAC
rnacentral:rRNA from 1 species